UACGGAGGGGGUCUAGCGUUGUUCGGAAUUACUUGGGCGUAAAGAGCUCGUAGGCGGUGUGUCACGUCGGCCGUGAAAACCUAGGGCUUAACUCUGGGCGUGCGGUCGAUACGGGCAUCACUAGAGUUCGGCAGGGGAGACUGGAAUUCCUGGUGUAGCGGUGAAAUGCGCAGAUAUCAGGAGGAACACCGGUGGCGAAGGCGGUUCUCUGGGCAUUACCUGACGCUGAGGAGCGAAAGUGUGGGGAGCGAACAGG
rnacentral:rRNA from 1 species